UACGGAGGAUGCAAGCGUUAUCCGGAAUGAUUGGGCGUAAAGCGUCCGCAGGUGGCUGUGUAAGUCUGCUGUCAAAGAGCGAAGCUCAACUUCGUAAAGGCAGUGGAAACUACACGGCUAGAGUGCGUUCGGGGCAGAGGGAAUUCCUGGUGUAGCGGUGAAAUGCGUAGAGACCAGGAAGAACACCGGUGGCGAAGGCGCUCUGCUAGGCCGCAACUGACACUGAGGGACGAAAGCUAGGGGAGCGAAUGGG
rnacentral:rRNA from 1 species